rnacentral:rRNA from 1 species
UUUAGAAGCCAUACCACCUGCAGUUCAGACAAGGCCAUUCUUCUGAAGUUAAGUUGGUCUGGGUCUGGCCAGUACUUGGAUGAGGGACCAACUAUGAAAGCUGGCUGCUGCUGGAA